UUGAUGUGUAGGAUAGGUGGGAGGCUUUGAAGUGUGGACGCCAGUCUGCAUGGAGCCGACCUUGAAAUACCACCCUUUAAUGUUUGAUGUUCUAACGUUGACCCGUAAUCCGGGUUGCGGACAGUGUCUGGUGGGUAGUUUGACUGGGGCGGUCUCCUCCUAAAGAGUAACGGAGGAGCACGAAGGUUGGCUAAUCCUGGUCGGACAUCAGGAGGUUAGUGCAAUGGCAUAAGCCAGCUUGACUGCGAGCGUGACGGCGCGAGCAGGUGCGAAAGCAGGUCAUAGUGAUCCGGUGGUUCUGAAUGGAAGGGCCAUCGCUCAACGGAUAAAAGGUACUCCGGGGAUAACAGGCUGAUACCGCCCAAGAGUUCAUAUCGACGGCGGUGUUUGGCACCUCGAUGUCGGCUCAUCACAUCCUGGGGCUGAAGUAGGUCCCAAGGGUAUGGCUGUUCGCCAUUUAAAGUGGUACGCGAGCUGGGUUUAGAACGUCGUGAGACAGUUCGGUCCCUA
rnacentral:rRNA from 1 species